rnacentral:tRNA from 1 species
GGUUGUGGUUCAGUGGUAGAGCACUCACCUAGCACAUGUGAGGCACUGGGUUCGAUCCUCAGCACCA